rnacentral:rRNA from 2 species
AACCCAGCAGUUUUAAUCAACUGUUACCACUAGAUGAAUUCAUAGUUUAUAUUGGAGGUAAACGCUGUGAACUGAAACAUCUCAUUAGCAGCAGGAAUAUAAAGAAAUUUCGAUUCCCUAAGUAGCGGCGAGCGAACGGGGAACAGCCCAAACCAAAGUGCUUGCACUUUGGGGUUGUAGGACUGAACAUUUGAGUUACCAAAAGAACUUGAUAGUCGAAAGGGAUUUGGGAAAAUCCGCCAUAGAUGGUGAUAGCCC